rnacentral:miRNA from 1 species
UUAAUGCUAUCGUUGAUGGGGUU